GAACUAUUUUUGCUUUGUAUCAGGGAGCAUUAUCCUGUGGAAAGAAGUCACAGCCAUCAGGGAAUACAGCUUUCAUUAAAGGGUGUACAUGAUCUGCAGCAGUGCUUCGGUGUUCCCCUAGGUAAGAGAUGCACAUGGACCUGGUCAUCCACUUGAUGUUUCCCAGUGCUCUGUGGUCCAGUUUUGAUGCUCACUGUCAUGGUCCGGCUUGAAGCUUAAGCUUCUCUCUUGGACUCAGGAUACCUUACCCCCAUCUUGGAUAUCACUCUGUGCCCUCCUCCCACCUCACACCAUCAGGAACCUCCAAAUGUCAGUGACUUUGAGCACCACCCGAACCACAACCUGCACCCCAGAUUCCCCUUUAGCUCCCGG
ensembl:lncRNA